GAACAAACAGUCUUGUUGGAUCAGAACGUCUGACUGAAGACUGAACAUCAGUGCUGCUAUUUAUCCUGAAAGGAUCCAUAAAAUUCUCACUCUUUCAGUGAAAAGGAAAUGGAGAAGAUGAUCUGCAGGAUCCUGCUGCUCAUCAUCCUCAACUCAUGUCUCUGUGCAGCAACAUUUGUAGUGAAUGUGACACAGAGCUUCUAUCAGGCAGAGGAGAACCACAACAUCACUCUGGAGUGGACCUUCACCACCAGACCUCACACAUCUAUAGAUUCCUUCUUCAU